AUUGAACGCUGUCGGCAUGCCUUACACAUGCAAGUCGAACGGUAACGGGUCCUUCGGGAUGCCGACGAGUGGCGAACGGGUGAGUAAUAUAUCGGAACGUGCCCAGUAGUGGGGGAUAACUGCUCGAAAGAGCAGCUAAUACCGCAUACGACCUGAGGGUGAAAGGGGGGGAUCGCAAGACCUCUCGCUAUUGGAGCGGCCGAUAUCAGAUUAGCUAGUUGGUGGGGUAAAGGCCUACCAAGGCAACGAUCUGUAGUUGGUCUGAGAGGACGACCAGCCACACUGGGACUGAGACACGGCCCAGACUCCUACGGGAGGCAGCAGUGGGGAAUUUUGGACAAUGGGCGCAAGCCUGAUCCAGCAAUGCCGCGUGCAGGAAGAAGGCCUUCGGGUUGUAAACUGCUUUUGUCAGGGAAGAAAUCUUCUGGGCUAAUACCCCGGGAGGAUGACGGUACCUGAAGAAUAAGCACCGGCUAACUACGUGCCAGCAGCCGCGGUAAUACGUAGGGUGCGAGCGUUAAUCGGAAUUACUGGGCGUAAAGCGUGCGCAGGCGGCUUUGCAAGACAGAUGUGAAAUCCCCGGGCCCAACCUGGGAACUGCAUUUGUGACUGCAAGGCUAGAGUACGGCAGAGGGGGAUGGAAUUCCGCGUGUAGCAGCGAAAUGCGUAGAUAUGCGGAGGAACACCAAUGGCGAAGGCAAUCCCCUGGGCCUGUACUGACGCUCAUGCACGAAAGCGUGGGGAGCAAACAGGAUUAGAUACCCUGGUAGUCCACGCCCUAAACGAUGUCAACUGGUUGUUGGACGGCUUGCUGUUCAGUAACGAAGCUAACGCGUGAAGUUGACCGCCUGGGGAGUACGGCCGCAAGGUUGAAACUCAAAGGAGUUGACGGGGACCCGCACAAGCGGUGGAUGAUGUGGUUUAAUUCGAUGCAACGCGAAAAACCUUACCUACCCUUGACAUGUCAAGAAUUCUGCAGAGAUGUGGAAGUGCUCGAAAGAGAACUUGAACACAGGUGCUGCAUGGCCGUCGUCAGCUCGUGUCGUGAGAUGUUGGGUUAAGUCCCGCAACGAGCGCAACCCUUGUCAUUAGUUGCUACGCAAGAGCACUCUAAUGAGACUGCCGGUGACAAACCGGAGGAAGGUGGGGAUGACGUCAGGUCCUCAUGGCCCUUAUGGGUAGGGCUACACACGUCAUACAAUGGCCGGUACAGAGGGCUGCCAACCCGCGAGGGGGAGCCAAUCCCAGAAACCCGGUCGUAGUCCGGAUCGUAGUCUGCAACUCGACUGCGUGAAGUCGGAAUCGCUAGUAAUCGCGGAUCAGCUUGCCGCGGUGAAUACGUUCCCGGAUCU
rnacentral:rRNA from 1 species